rnacentral:misc_RNA from 1 species
CCGAGUUUACAACUCCCAAACCCCUGUGAACAUACCUAUACGCUGCCUCGGCGGAUCAGCCCGCGCCCCGUAAAACGGGACGGCCCGCCCGAGGACCCCUAAACUCUGUUUUUAGUGGAACUUCUGAGUAAAACAAACAAAUAAAUCA